rnacentral:rRNA from 1 species
GCUACACACGUGCUACAAUGGGUAGUACAGAGAGUCGCAAAGCCGCGAGGUGGAGCUAAUCUCAGAAAACUAUUCUUAGUUCGGAUUGUACUCUGCAACUCGAGUACAUGAAGUUGGAAUCGCUAGUAAUCGCGAAUCAGCAAUGUCGCGGUGAAUACGUUCUCGGGUCUUGUACACACCGCCCGUCACACCACGAGAGUUGGUUGCACCUGAAGUAGCAGGCCUAACCGUAAGGAGGGAUGCUCCGAGGGUGUGAUUAGCGAUUGGGGUGAAGUCGUAACAAGGUAUCCGUACGGGAACGU